ACGGGAGGCAGCAGUGGGGAAUUUUGCGCAAUGGGGGAAACCCUGACGCAGCAACGCCGCGUGCGGGACGAAGGCCUUCGGGUUGUAAACCGCUUUCAGCAGGGAAGACACUGACGGUACCUGCAGAAGAAGCUCCGGCUAACUACGUGCCAGCAGCCGCGGUAAUACGUAGGGAGCGAGCGUUAUCCGGAUUCAUUGGGCGUAAAGCGCGCGUAGGCGGCUUGGCAAGCGAGGUGUCAAAGCCCGGGGCUCAACCCCGGCCCGCACCUCGAACUGCCAGGCUUGAGUACGGUAGGGGAAGGCGGAAUUCCCAGUGUAGCGGUGAAAUGCGCAGAUAUUGGGAAGAACACCGGUGGCGAAGGCGGCCUUCUGGGCCGUUACUGACGCUGAGGCGCGAAAGCUAGGGGAGCGAACAGGAUUAGAUACCCUGGUA
rnacentral:rRNA from 2 species